GACGAACGCUGGCGGCGUGCUUAACACAUGCAAGUCGAGCGGUAAGGCCCUUCGGGGUACACGAGCGGCGAACGGGUGAGUAACACGUGGGUGAUCUGCCUCGCACUCUGGGAUAAGCCUGGGAAACUGGGUCUAAUACCGGAUAUGACCACUGAUCGCAUGGUUGGUGGUGGAAAGAUUUAUCGGUGCGAGAUGGGCCCGCGGCCUAUCAGCUUGUUGGUGGGGUAAUGGCCUACCAAGGCGACGACGGGUAGCCGGCCUGAGAGGGCGACCGGCCACACUGGGACUGAGACACGGCCCAGACUCCUACGGGAGGCAGCAGUGGGGAAUAUUGCACAAUGGGCGAAAGCCUGAUGCAGCGACGCCGCGUGAGGGAUGACGGCCUUCGGGUUGUAAACCUCUUUCGACAGGGACGAAGCGAAAGUGACGGUACCUGUAGAAGAAGCACCGGCCAACUACGUGCCAGCAGCCGCGGUAAUACGUAGGGUGCGAGCGUUGUCCGGAAUUACUGGGCGUAAAGAGCUUGUAGGCGGUUCGUCGCGUCGAUCGUGAAAACUUGCAGCUCAACUGCGAGCUUGCGGUCGAUACGGGCGGACUAGAGUACUGCAGGGGAGACUGGAAUUCCUGGUGUAGCGGUGAAAUGCGCAGAUAUCAGGAGGAACACCGGUGGCGAAGGCGGGUCUCUGGGCAGUAACUGACGCUGAGAAGCGAAAGCGUGGGUAGCGAACAGGAUUAGAUACCCUGGUAGUCCACGCCGUAAACGGUGGGCGCUAGGUGUGGGUUUCCUUCCACGGGAUCCGUGCCGUAGCUAACGCAUUAAGCGCCCCGCCUGGGGAGUACGGCCGCAAGGCUAAAACUCAAAGGAAUUGACGGGGGCCCGCACAAGCGGCGGAGCAUGUGGAUUAAUUCGAUGCAACGCGAAGAACCUUACCUGGGUUUGACAUACACCAGAAAGCUGCAGAGAUGUAGCCCCCCUUGUGGUUGGUGUACAGGUGGUGCAUGGCUGUCGUCAGCUCGUGUCGUGAGAUGUUGGGUUAAGUCCCGCAACGAGCGCAACCCUUAUCUUAUGUUGCCAGCGCGUAAUGGCGGGGACUCGUGAGAGACUGCCGGGGUCAACUCGGAGGAAGGUGGGGACGACGUCAAGUCAUCAUGCCCCUUAUGUCCAGGGCUUCACACAUGCUACAAUGGCCGGUACAGAGGGCUGCGAUACCGCGAGGUGGAGCGAAUCCCUUAAAGCCGGUCUCAGUUCGGAUCGGGGUCUGCAACUCGACCCCGUGAAGUUGGAGUCGCUAGUAAUCGCAGAUCAGCAACGCUGCGGUGAAUACGUUCCCGGGCCUUGUACUCACCGC
rnacentral:rRNA from 1 species